GACGCCACCUGAGAAGUUUUCGUGAUCGUAGAGACGUGUUGGCUGAACUAAGUGACUCAAAACCGAUAAGAGGUAUCAGUUAGAGCGUGCAGCCAAGAUAUAUGGGGCUGACAUGCAAGGAUUCUUAGGAAAAGUGAACUCUAGUAGGGGUGUGAGAGGGAGACGGUGACAACUGGAUGCCGCCUUGAGGGGGACUGUGGUUACCCAAGUAAAAAGUGGCUUCUAAAACUAUAUCUUCAACCUCUGCCUGCCCCAUACUCCAACUACAAUAGAUGGUGCUCAACCACUACAAACCGUUGAUACAUCAUUCACUGAAACGGUGGAUGCCUCGGCACCAGCAGGAGGUUCGGCUGUGUUAGGCGUUGGAAGUGCUGCCGUAGCAUUUCCAUCUGUUCUGUUAUGACCAAUGAAAACAAAUGUUAGUUAAACCAUGACAAGCAUAUUUAUUGCAGAUCUAUCUCACUGUCUAAAUAAGAGGUAAACAAUCCUUUCAAGCAGGAAGUAUCUUCCUGCCCCCAUACUCCUCAUACACAGUGUAAGUGUAUAUGGUGUGUGUGGUUGCCUCAUUGUUGCUGUCUUCCUAGAGGAGGGUGUUGGCUUUGAUAGAUAGAUAGUUAAUGUCCGUACACUUCAGUUUUCAAGAUAUUUUGUAUGCUGUUAUUAAUAUUUUCAGCAGUAGGAUAAUGUAUUGUUAUUGUGUUGCAGACAGGUACUGAGUGCACUUGUCAUUAAGACACAUUCAUGUGGGGAUGCAUUUCUUGUGAGCUGUCAUUUCCAGCCUUCCAUAAUUGAAUAUCAACAUAGAAAAUUUUUCACAUCAAUGAGACCCAUCAAUUUGAUUAGGUUAAGUUACUGGAAGUUAUACUCUGUUAGUUUAGGGUUAAAGUUAGUUAUGUAUAAGGUGGCAGAAGUUGUCCUUUAUACCUGGAAGCAUUAAAUACAAUAAAUGAAUAGUUUGG